AGCAGAGUAUGCAGGCCCGUCGCCCUAGCGACUCCAGACUCCACACAGACACAACAGGUACUCAUGCUGCUCCAGAGCCAGUACUGUUCUUCCUUCAGACUAGCAUGCGUUGUUUAUUUACACAAUGUUUCUCGUUCACAUUAGCUUGUAGAUGUCCAAAUUCCCCCCAAAUAAAGUGACAUUCGGUAGCUCCUAAAUAUACAGUACCAGUCAAAAGCUUGGACACAGCUACUCAUUCAAGGUUUUUUAGAUAUCAAAACUAUGAAACAACACAUAUGGAAUUAUGUAGUAAGCAAAACAUUUGUUUUAAACUCAAAAUAGAUUAGAUUCUUCAAAGCAGCCACCCUUUGCUUUGAUGAAAGCUUUGCAAAGAAGAGCACAUAUUGGUAGAUAAAUUACUUUUAAAAAGCAGACAUUGAAUAUCACUUUGAGCACAGUGAAGUUAUUAAUUACAUUUUGAAUGGUGUAUCAAUACAGACAGUCACUACAAAGAUACAGGCGUCCUUCCUAACUUAGUUGCUGGAGAGGAAGGAAACUGUUCAGGAGUUUCACCAUGAGGCCAAUGUUGAGUUUAAAACAGUUACAGAGUUUAAUAGCUGUGAUAGGAGAAAACAGAGGAUGAAUCAACAACACAAUACUAACCUAAAUUACAGUGAAAAGAAGGAAGCCUGUACAGAAUAAAAAUAUACCAAAACAUGCAUCCUGUUAACAGUAAGGCACUAAAGUAAAAAUACUGCUUGUGGUGGCUGCAUGAUGUUAUGGAUAUGCUUGUCAAAGGCAAGGACAAGGGAGUUAUUUAGGAUAAAAAUUUAACUGAAUAGAACUAAACACAGGCAAAAAUCCUAGAGGAAAGCCAGGUUCAGUCUGCUUUCCAACAGACAUUGAGAGACAAAUGCACCUUUCAGAAGGACAAUAACCAAAAACACAAGGCCAAAAAAAUAUACACUGGAGUUGCUUACCAAGACAACAUUGAAUAUUCACGAGUAGAUACAGUUUGACUUAAAUUGGCUUGAAAAUCUAUUGCAAUACUUGAACAUGUUUAUCAUUGCUAAUCAACUAAUGUGUAUAAUCCAGGUGUGCAAAGACACACAGCUGUACUCACUGCCAACGGUGAUUCUAACAUGUACUCACUCAUGUAAAUUAGAUAUUUCUGUAUUUCAUUUUCAAUACAUUUUCUAACAUUUCAAUAACGAAAAUCUCACUGUGGUUAUGGGGGUAUUGUGUGUAGAUGGGUGAAGAAAUGUUUUUAUUUAAUCCAUUUUGAAUUCAGGAUCUAAGAACAAAAAGUGGAAUAAAUCAAGGGGUAGGAUAACUCUCUGAAGGCACAGUAUAAUCUUACCCAGAUUGCCUUGAACAUGAUUACAUUGUUAAAGUGCCCUCUAAAAUAAUCAGCAGCAGAGUGAAGGGAGAGAAUCAUUUUAUUCCUUCAUGCAUUUUUCAGUAGAAAGUCCUUUUAACAAGGCACCAGACGUGACCUUCUCAGUUGUUCGACAAAACAAAAUCUCUUCUACCUUGGCCAGCGCUGUGUGUGUGUGUGUGUGUGUGUGUGUGUGUGUGUGUGUGUGUGUGUGUGUGUGUGUGUGUCAAGCCCAGAGGAAAGAAAAGAAAAGGAGGGGAGCUGACGUUGAAGCCUGGGCUUUAGUGGAGGCCGGGCGAGGUCCUGGUGCUGAAGCCUGGGCUUUAGUGGAGGCCGGGCGAGGUCCUGGUGCUGAAGCCUGGGCUUUAGUGGAGGCCGGGCGAGGUCCUGGUGCUGAAGCCUGGGCUUUAGUGGAGGCCGGGCGAGGUCCUGGUGCUGAAGCCUGGGCUUUAGUGGAGGCCGGGCGAGGUCCUGGUGCUGAAGCCUGGGCUUUAGUGGAGGCCGGGCGAGGUCCUGGUGCUGAAGCCUGGGCUUUAGUGGAGGCCGGGCGAGGUCCUGGUGCUGAAGCCUGGGCUUUAGUGGAGGCCGGGCGAGGUCCUGGUGCUGAAGCCUGGGCUUUACUGGAGACCGGGCGAGGUCCUGGUGCUGAAGCCUGGGCUUUACUGGAGGCCGGGCGAGGUCCUGGUGCUGAAGCCUGGGCUUUAGUGGAGGCCGGGCGAGGUCCUGGUGCUGAAGCCUGGGCUUUAGUGAAGGUCGGGCGAGGUCCUGGUGCUGAAGCCUGGGCUUUAGUGGAGGCCGGGCGAGGUCCUGGUGCUGAAGCCUGGGCGAAGCCUGGGCUUUAGUGGAGGCCGGGCGAGGUCCAGGUGCUGAAGCCUGGGCUUUAGUGGAGGCCGGGCGAGGUCCUGGUGCUGAAGCCUGGGCUUUAGUGGAGGCCGGGCGAGGUCCUGAAGCCUGGGUUUUAGUGGAGGCCGGGCGAGGUCCUGGUGCUGAAGCCUGGGCUUUAGUGGAGGCCGGGCGAGGUCCUGGUGCUGAAGCCUGGGCUUUAGUGGAGGCCGGGCGAGGUCCUGGUGCUGAAGCCUGGGCUUUAGUGGAGGCCGGGCGAGGUCCUGGUGCUGAAGCCUGGGCUUUAGUGGAGGCCGGGCGAGGUCCUGAAGCCUGGGUUUUAGUGGAGGCCGGGCGAGGUCCUGAAACCUGGGCGAAGCCUGGGCUUUAGUGGAGGCCGGGCGAGGUCCUGGUGCUGAAGCCUGGGCUUUAGUGGAGGCCGGGCGAGGUCCAGGUGCUGAAGCUUGGGCUUUUAGUGGAGGCCAGGCGAGGUCCUGAAGCCUGGGCUUUACUGGAGGCCGGGCGAGGUCCUGGUGCUGAAGCCUGGGCUUUAGUGGAGGCCGGGCGAGGUCCUGGUGCUGAAGCCUGGGCUUUAGUGGAGGCCGGGCGAGGUCCUGGUGCUGAAGCCUGGGCUUUAGUGGAGGCCGGGCGAGGUCCUGGUGCUGAAGCCUGGGCUUUAGUGGAGGCCGGGCGAGGUCCUGGUGCUGAAGCCUGGGCUUUAGUGGAGGCCGGGCGAGGUCCUGGUCC